CCGCAGUCAGGCGCUUAACCAACUGAGCCGCCCAGGUGCCCCGACGGGAGAGGGUGUUCUGGGGAGGAGGGAGUGGUCACUUGGACAGGUACCGCUGGUGAGUCCAAACGAUGGAUGGGAGUGAGGGCUGACCGGGCAUAGCCAUGUGGGGGUCAGUGGUGGGUGGUUCAGACAAAGGCCUGCCGGGAGCAGCAGGAUUACGGGAGAACGAGAUCUACUGACUGAAGAAGGAUUGGGGGGCACCUGGGUGGCUUAGUCGGUUGGGCGUCUGACUCUUGAUUUUGGCUCAGGUCUCAUGGUCAUCGCGCUGAGCGUGGAGCCUGGUUAAGAUUUUGUCCCUCUGCUGGAGCUCUCCUAAAAAAAAAAAAAAACAAACAAACAAAGCAAACAACAACAAAAACAACUAAGAAGGAUCAGGGGUCCAACUAGUCUUGGAUAGUCUAAGAGCCCUGACACCGGAGUGACCCAAUAGAGACGACACACGUUGAUUCUCGUCCUGUAGACAGAGGGCCAUAUGGCCAAGUGGACAGCGGCCACACAAGAUCUGUGACUCCCAGGCCGGGGUGGGCGCCUCUAAGCAGGCUGACCGGUGAUGCCCACACUGCUGGUUGGCAUUCGGGCAGCAUGCGCAGGCCUGGAUGGAAUGCUAUGCAGUUGUGGAAAAGGAUGUGGACUGGACGUAUGCGCGCCGGGACAGAAAGAUGUUCCAGAAACAACAGCUGGAAAGAGCAGGCUAUAAAAUAUCUGUUGCCUGAAAUCAUUGUAUGAGAAAAAUAAUCACACGAAACCGUUACCUAGGGUUUUUC